rnacentral:sRNA from 1 species
GUCGCUGUCAAUCCAGCGACCGGGUUUUGCAGCCCGAAUCACACAAAGGCGCACAGGCGCCACCGUCCGAUAGCAGGCGCUUUUUUU